AACGCAUAUUGCGCUCUUUGGUAUUCCGAAGAGCAUGCUUGUUUGAGUAUCAGUAAACACCUCAAAGCUUUUGGAUUUUUUUUUGAAAGUUUUGGACUUGAGCAAUCCCAACACCAAUCUUUUUCAGAUCGGUGGCGGGUUGCUUGAAAUACAGGUGCAGCUGGACAUUCUCCUGAGCUAAAAGCAUAUUCAUUUAGUCCCGUCAAACGGAUUAUUACUUUUGCUGCAGCUAACAUAAAGGGGGUUGACCGUAUUGUGACUGUUGCAGGAUUUCACAAGGGUCGGCAACGAUUCUUGUUAAACUCGAUCUCAAAUCAAGUAAGACUACCAGCUGAACUUAA
rnacentral:misc_RNA from 1 species